ACGUUUAGUUGCUAACAGGUGAAGCUGAGCACUCUAGACGAACUGCCGUUGACAAAACGGAGGAAGGUGGGGAUGACGUCAAAUCAUCAUGCCCCUUAUGUUCUGGGCUACACACGUGCUACAAUGGCCGGUACAGACGGAGGCGAAGCCGCGAGGCGGAGCAAAUCCGAAAAAGCCGGUCUCAGUUCGGAUUGCAGGCUGCAAUUCGCCUGCAUGAAGUCGGAAUCGCUAGUAAUCGCAGGUCAGCAUACUGCGGUGAAUACGUUCCCGGGCCUU
rnacentral:rRNA from 1 species